CCUACGGGUGGCAGCAGUGAGGAAUAUUGGUCAAUGGACGAGAGUCUGAACCAGCCAAGUAGCGUGAAGGAUGACUGCCCUAUGGUUUGUAAACUUCUUUUAUAUGGGAAUAAAAUGUUCCACGUGUGGGAUUUUGUAUGUACCAUAUGAAUAAGGAUCGGCUAACUCCGUGCCAGCAGCCGCGGUAAUACGGAGGGUCCGAGCGUUAUCCGGAUUUAUUGGGUUUAAAGGGAGGGGAGGUGGAUUGUUAAGUCAGUUGGGAAAGGUUGCGGCUCAACCGUAAAAUUGCAGUUGAAACUGGCAGUCUUGAGUACAGUAGAGGUGGGCGGAAUUCGUGGUGGAGCGGUGAAAUGCUUAGAGAUCACGAAGAACUCCGAUGGCGAAGGCAGCUCACUGGACUGCAACUGACACUGAGGCUCGAAAGUGUGGGGAUCAAACAGGAUUAGAUACCCGGGUAGUC
rnacentral:rRNA from 1 species